UACGUAUGGAGCAAGCGUUAUCCGGAUUUACUGGGUGUAAAGGGUGCGUAGGUAGCAGUGCAAGUCAGAUGUGAAAGGCCGGGGCUCAACCCCGGAGCUGCAUUUGAAACUGCAUAGCUAGAGUACAGGAGAGGCAGGCGGAAUUCCUAGUGUAGCGGUGAAAUGCGUAGAUAUUAGGAGGAACACCAGUGGCGAAGGCGGCCUGCUGGACUGUUACUGACACUGAGGCACGAAAGCGUGGGGAGCAAACAGG
rnacentral:rRNA from 1 species